AAUAUAUCGGAACGUACCCUGGAGUGGGGGAGUAACGUAGCGAAAGUUACGCUAAUACCGCAUACGAUCUAAGGAUGAAAGUGGGGGAGUCGCAAGACCUCAUGCUCCUGGAGCGGCCGAUAUCUGAUUAGCUAGUUGGUGGGGUAAAGGCCUACCAAGGCAUCGAUCAGUAGCUGGUCUGAGAGGACGACCAGCCACACUGGAACUGAGACACGGUCCAGACUCCUACGGGAGGCAGCAGUGGGGAAUUUUGGACAAUGGGCGCAAGCCUGAUCCAGCAAUGCCGCGUGAGUGAAGAAG
rnacentral:rRNA from 1 species